UAUAUUAUUAUACGUUUCAUGACAAACGUAUUGGAUAUAUCACGUGAUCAUAACGUAAUGUAAAACGUAAUAUAAACAACCAAUCAGAUAACAGUUAACAUAAUAUUCAUUUCAUUUGCGCGGUAUCCAGCAGCCAUUACACUCCUGAUCUUCAAACACAUCGUAAUUUCUUAAAUUUUUUUUUCUCGAUCAUUCAAUUGUUACAUUUCACAUACGAAUUCAAGUACAGUAGCAUGUUGUGUGAGAGAUUGCCGAAUGUCCUUGACAUAACCAAUACAAUCGUUUCGAUAUAAAAAUAUUAUCAUUUCACUUUAAAACUUACGAUUAGACGAGUUAAUAUCUCCCAUCUACAGAAUAAUAUUCAAUCAUUUAAAUCAUUAUUUUCUAUUUGAGAGAAAGAGAGAGAGAGAGAAGAAGGGAGGAGCAUAGCUUUUAUUAACGCAUAAUACAUUAAAUAGUUAAUUACUAUCUAA